rnacentral:lncRNA from 1 species
UUUCUAAUUUUCAUUUGCAUAAAUAUACAUUUUAUUACAAUCUUACAAAAUGUGUACACGCCCUACUCGCUACUCAAGGAGUGACCGAACGACUACCAUUUAGCGUUUAGGUGAACAUUGCAUUUUGGACAUCCACAAUAUGUUCAAAAAGCAAUCCAUAAAUAUUAAAAUAUUCCAAUUAGCUAGCUGCAACAUUAUGAAAGUGGUCCAUAUAGUGAUCUUUAGUAAAAAGAUAUACAAAUGCAUAUGGCCUGCCCAUAAAAAAUAAAAUAUCAUUUAUCUCUUCCUUUCUUUCCUUCUCUCCAUUUUAUCUCCUACCUUUACUUCUUCCUUUU